rnacentral:rRNA from 1 species
AUUGAACGCUGGCGGCAGGCCUAACACAUGCAAGUCGAGCGGAGCGGCGGACGGGUGAGGAAUGCCUAGGAAUCUGCCUGUUAGUGGGGGAUAACGUCCGGAAACGGGCGCUAAUACCACAUACUAUCAGAUGAGCCUAGGUCGGAUUAGCUAGUUGGGGGGGUAGAGGCCUACCAAGUCGACGAUCAGUAACUGGUCUGAGCGGAUGAGCAGUCACACGGUAACUGAGACAGGGUCCAGACUCUUCCGGGAGGCAGCAGUGGGGAAUAUUGGAAAAUGGGCGAAAGACUGAACCAGCCAUGCCGCGUGGGUGAAGAAGGUCUUCGGAUUGUAAAGCACUUUAAGUUGGGAGGCGUUCCCAACAGAAUAAGCACCGGCUAACUUCGUGCCAGCAGCCGCGUAAUAC